UGGGGAAUCUUGCACAAUGGGCGAAAGCCUGAUGCAGCGACGCCGCGUGGGGGAUGAAGCAUCUCGGUGUGUAAACCCCUUUCGAUUCGGACGAAUGCCCGCAAGGGAGUGACGGUACGGAUAUAAGAAGCCCCGGCUAACUACGUGCCAGCAGCCGCGGUAAGACGUAGGGGGCCAGCGUUGUUCGGAAUUACUGGGUGUAAAGGGUUCGUAGGCGGUGCGGCAAGUUGGGAGUGAAAUCUCUGGGCUUAACCCAGAGGCUGCUUCCAAAACUGCUGUGCUCGAGUGUGGGAGGGGCGCGUGGAAUUGCAGGUGUAGCGGUGAAAUGCGUAGAUAUCUGCAGGAACACCCGUGGCGAAAGCGGCGCGCUGGACCACUACUGACGCUGAGGAACGAAAGCUAGGGGAGCAAACAGG
rnacentral:rRNA from 1 species